GCCAAGACUGUCAUUUCGCUUACCCAUGAUUUUUUAUUUUAAUACAUGAUUAUUUACCGGACAGAGUGUCCGGUUGGGUUUCAAUUUACCGGUCCCCAAUAAAUUUUACCGGUGAUUUUCCGGUAUAUACCUAAGAACGGAAACACUGUGUAUGAUUCAUGACUUGA